GGGAAGCUGUGGAGGAGCACAGGUGGGGUGGAGGAGCAAUGUCAAAAGGAGAACGCCAUGAUUUUUCACAAGCAGCCGCUUGUCACACUAACGGAAAUAAAGAUUGGAGUCAAAUCAGGAAAGGGAAGACCUCAAACAGUUUCUUAAUCCCUUGACUAAUCAGGUAAGAAGGAGCCUGUGUCACCAGCCCGUGGGCCUGGUGUGGGUGUGGCUGCGGCAGAGCAGGGCUGCCAUCAGCCCACAGCUCUAUAGAGAACACAAACACUUGAGAAGGCACUUGACCUUUUCAAUGCGGAGUUACAGAAUCAGAGAGUGAGAAGAGCAACACUUUACUCCUGGUGCCACCAGGCUGAAUUCCACCUAAGUGGCUCCUGUCUGCAUCCCACUCCAACCUGAUCCUUGGGAGGGGCCAAUACACUGUAGCCUGUGAACUAAGAUGGCAGCUGCCCAGUGAUCAAAGACUGCCCUACUAGGGUAAACUAAGAACUCAGUGAGUGCCACUGUCAAAAGAAGCCAGAGCCACUGACAUCUGUCUGUUGAGCUGCGACCACUGUUGACUAUGCGAGCUGGAAAAACUUAGCUGGAGUGCUGAGAGCCACUGCUGCCUGGAGGAGCCAAUAACACGAUUUUUGUGUGAGCUCACACUACUGUUCCUUGGGGGAACUGAUCCACCUAUGAUCUGUAGGAGCUGAGAACCCCUGUUACCUGGUGGAGGUGAGAACACUGGCACCUGAAAGACUCAGGAAGCCACAAGUCUCAAAUAUUUUGGAUUGGUAUGGACUGUUGCUUGAUGAUAGGAAGGAACAGGAGACAUGGCAUCAACACACCUGUGGGUGAACUUGAACCCUCCAGUGGAAGAAGGCUGAGAAGCAGAGAGCCCCAGAAGUACUGACAGCCAUUUAUCACAGCCUGGGCGUUCUUCCACGCUUGCAUCGUAAACUCCAGGAUAGCUCUUAUACGGCGACAGUCACACUGCUUCGGCUGGUUGUUCAGGGACAAAAAAGACAACCAAGCUCCUGCCAUGAGGCAGACACCAGGGACUGGGAGGACCAGGCCACAUCCCCUGUAUCCCCUGUCUCUCUGAUGACUCAGGCUCAGAAAGCUGGAGACUCAAGACUGGAGUUGAAGUCUGGCAGUAGGUUAAAAAGAAAGAUCGCAGACCGUUUCCUUCCUUAGAUAAAUUUGAACUUGAAAGGAAAGGAAACCAAACUGGUUUCUCUCUUCUGAAGUCACUCUUAUCACUACUUGAUCUUCCUGGCGUA
rnacentral:lncRNA from 1 species